AUUGAACGCUGGCGGCAUGCUUUACACAUGCAAGUCGAACGGUAACAGGCCUUCGGGUGCUGACGAGUGGCGAACGGGUGAGUAAUGCAUCGGAACGUGCCCAGAGGUGGGGGAUAACGCAGCGAAAGCUGUGCUAAUACCGCAUGUGAUCUGAGGAUGAAAGCGGGGGACCAAGCAGCAAUGUUUGGCCUCGCGCCUCUGGAGCGGCCGAUGUCAGAUUAGGUAGUUGGUGGGGUAAAGGCCUACCAAGCCGACGAUCUGUAGCUGGUCUGAGAGGACGACCAGCCACACUGGGACUGAGACACGGCCCAGACUCCUACGGGAGGCAGCAGUGGGGAAUUUUGGACAAUGGGCGCAAGCCUGAUCCAGCAAUGCCGCGUGCGGGAAGAAGGCCUUCGGGUUGUAAACCGCUUUUGUACGGAACGAAAAGGCUCUGGCUAAUACCUGGGGCUGAUGACGGGACCAUAAGAAUAAGCACCGGCUAACUACGUG
rnacentral:rRNA from 1 species